rnacentral:rRNA from 1 species
AUGCUUGGGCCUGUGCAUAUCAUGUUGCCUGCCUCUGAUCUCCGCGGAUAUGUUUUUCAGUUGCCAGCAGUUGGCCAGAAAGAAAAUGGCAUGAUUGAUGCCUGUGUGUGUGUAUCUAGUUCUAGUACCUACCAUGCCAUGUUCUCCAGGGGUUCACUGUGUGUGGUGUGUGUGAUUGGCGGGGUCUGUGGCAACUUGAUGAUGGGUGCUGGGCAAGUGGAUUUCGCCUCUGUCCAGGGUGCCAAUUGUCCGGUGGCCUUUUGCCUUUUCUUCCAUUGGCGAAUCGGCGUGGAUCACGGCGGAAUCCGUGGUUUGCAGCGGUGCCACGGAUGGAGCCGGAUUCGUGCUGCUUUUUGGUCGAACUUUGUGACAAGGACGCGCUAA